rnacentral:rRNA from 1 species
GGGGGUGGGCGAAGCCUGAGCAGCAACGCCGCGUGAGUGACGAAGGCCUUCGGGUCGUAAAGCUCUGUUGUACGGGAAGAAAUAAAUGACGGUACCGUAUAAGAAAGGACCGGCCAACUUCGUGCCAGCAGCCGCGGUAAGACGAGGGGUCCUAGCGUUGUUCGGAAUUACUGGGCGUAAAGCGCACGUAGGCGGCUAUGUAAGUCGGAUGUGAAAGCCCCGGGCUUAACCCGGGAAGUGCAUUCGAUACUGUAUAGCUUGAGUUUGGGAGAGGGCAGUGGAAUUCCUGGUGUAGUGGUGAAAUACGUAGAUAUCAGGAGGAACACCGGUGGCGAAGGCGGCUGCCUGGCCCAUAACUGACGCUGAGGUGCGAAA